AACAAGCGCUGGCGGCGUGCCUAAUACAUGCAAGUCGAACGGGGAAAGCUUUCGGGUGAGUACUAGUGGCGCACGGGUGAGUAACGCGUGGAUAAUCUGCCCUCGAAUGGGGAAUAACUAGUCGAAAGAUUAGCUAAUACCGCAUAAGAUCACGACUACUGAGGUAGUUGGGGUCAAAGGAGCAAUUCGUUUGAGGAUGAGUCCGCGUAAGAUUAGCUAGUUGGUGAGGUAAUGGCUCACCAAGGCGAUGAUCUUUAACUGGUCUGAGAGGAUGAUCAGUCACACUGGAACUGAGACACGGUCCAGACUCCUACGGGAGGCAGCAGUAGGGAAUAUUGGACAAUGGGGGCAACCCUGAUCCAGCGACGCCGCGUGAGCGAUGAAGGCCUUCGGGUCGUAAAGCUCUGUUGUAAGGGAAAAAGUUCUGAUUGUACCUUACGAGAAAGGAUCGGCUAACUUCGUGCCAGCCGCCGCAGUAA
rnacentral:rRNA from 1 species